rnacentral:rRNA from 3 species
CCGAACCGACUAAUGUUGAAAAAUUAGCGGAUGACCUGUGGCUGGGGGUGAAAGGCCAAUCAAACCGGGAGAUAGCUGGUUCUCCCCGAAAGCUAUUUAGGUAGCGCCUCGUGAAUUCAUCUCCGGGGGUAGAGCACUGUUUCGGCUAGGGGGCCAUCCCGGCUUACCAACCCGAUGCAAACUGCGAAUACCGGAGAAUGUUAUCACGGGAGACACACGGCGGGUGCUAACGUCCGUCGUGAAGAGGGAAACAACCCAGACCGCCAGCUAAGGUCCCAAAGUCAUGGUUAAGUGGGAAACGAUGUGGGAAGGCCCAGACAGCCAGGAUGUUGGCUUAGAAGCAGCCAUCAUUUAAAGAAAGCGUAAUAGCUCACUGGUCGAGUCGGCCUGCGCGGAAGAUGUAACGGGGCUAAACCAUGCACCGAAGCUGCGGCAGCGACACUGUGUGUUGUUGGGUAGGGGAGCGUUCUGUAAGCCUGUGAAGGUGUGUCGUGAGG